rnacentral:rRNA from 1 species
GACGAACGCUGGCGGCGUGCUUAACACAUGCAAGUCGAACGAAGUGGCGAACGGGUGAGUAACGCGGAAUCAACCUGCCCUUCAGAGGGGGACAACAGUUGGAAACGACUGCUAAUACCGCAUACUUAAGGAGGGGAUUGCGUCUGAUUAGCUGGUUGGAGGGGUAAGGGCCAACCAAGGCGAUGAUCAGGAGCCGGGCUGAGAGGAUGAACGGCCAAAGUGGGACUGGGACACUGCCCAGACGCCUACGGGAGGCAGCAGUUGGGAAUCUUCCGGAAGGGACGAAAGUCUGACGGAGCAACGCCGCGGUAGUGAUGACGGCCUUCGGGUUGUAAAGCUCUGUUAAUCGGGACGCGGUACCGGAAUAGAAAGCCACGGCUAACUACGUGCCAGCAGCCGCGGUAAUUC